AACGAACGCUGGCGGCAUGCCUAACACAUGCAAGACGAACGAGAUCUUCGGGUCUAGUGGCGCACGGGUGCGUAACGCGUGGGAAUCUGCCCUUUGGUUCGGAAUAACAGUUGGAAACGACUGCUAAUACCGGAUGAUGACGAAAGUCCAAAGAUUUAUCGCCAGAGGAUGAGCCCGCGUAGGAUUAGCUAGUUGGUGUGGUAAAGGCGCACCAAGGCGACGAUCCUUAGCUGGUCUGAGAGGAUGAUCAGCCACACUGGGACUGAGACACGGCCCAGACUCCUACGGGAGGCAGCAGUGGGGAAUAUUGGACAAUGGGCGAGAGCCUGAUCCAGCAAUGCCGCGUGAGUGAUGAAGGCCUUAGGGUUGUAAAGCUCUUUUACCCGGGAUGAUAGUGACAGUACCGGGAGAAUAAGCUCCGGCUAACUCCGUGCCAGCCGCCGCCGUAA
rnacentral:rRNA from 1 species